rnacentral:lncRNA from 1 species
CGUGUCUCACAGGAAUGAGACCUAGCUCAAGAGUAUUCAAGAGUGAAUUGUAAUCUGUCACAUCUAUGUUGGCAUUAAGGUUAUAUAAGAACACAUCGUGUUUAACCGAUUUGAUAUUCUAGUAAGAGUUAUCAUACAUGAUUCUCUCAGUUACCCCAAGAUCCCUGGGCGCGCAUCAUGAGUAGUUAAGGUCAUUUAAUGGCUAAGGAUUGAGUGGCAUGCAUAGUUUGCACUUGACUUGCAGUGUGAUGACAUUAGUCGGAUAUCGAAUGAGGGAGCUGAAGGGGAAUCGUCCGACCAAGGAGCCUAAAGGGUACACAACCCUGUAGUCUCAAGUGGUGAGCCUGAAGAAACUAAGCACAAGGUCGACAGGUGGUCGAAGGGAUACAUAGCCCCAUAGUCUUGAGUGCAUGAGCAUAAAGAGACUAAGCACAACCUUGGUAAGGGGUUGAAAGGGUACACAAACCCAUAGUCUCAAGUGCGCAAGCACGAAGAGACUAAGCACGAGGUUUUGUGGUACUCGACCGAGGGACUCAAAUGAUUUUUCCCAGAGGUCACGAAGCUUUGAUGAGACUUCAUGAAGUGUUGCCUCAGUUGAAGAAAGGCAAAUGAAAGGACGCAUUGGUGACAUUUGGGGGUGAAGUGACAUCACGGUUUGAGCCUUGACACAUCGUUCUACGAGUGGUGUGAGUGGUGAAGAUUUUAUUUGAAACGAAACGCUGGGAGGGAAGCAUCACACGCUUUCGUAGUUGUUACACCCUUCGUUGCCCAUGCCACACACCCCUUGGGGCUUAUAAAUAUGCCUAAAACUUCAAAACCCCUCACCACUUCACCAUUUCUUCAAAAACUCUCACCAUUUCUUGAUUUUCUUGGCAUUUGGUCGUGAUAGGGAGGCGAUAUCUGAUGUGGGUGCUCUUGUGAGGCAGUGAUGGGAACGUAAAGGCUUGGGAAAAGCUAGCGCAAGACUUUUCAGAGAAUAAGGUACCACCUGACCCCCCUUGUCUUGUUUUAUCCAAUUGGGUAAUUUAUUUUGGGGGGGGGGGGGGGGGGGGGCUCGCGGAGGCAUAUAUUCACCGAGUAAUGGAGAUUGAUUAUGACACACUGUAUUCAUGGGAAAAGGAAGAAGUCAUGAGAGCGAGGUCAGUAUAUGUCGACUAGCCUUCUUUAGAGCGGGUGAGGGAUGAACUCGUGGUGACCAUAGAUGGUUAUGACAAGAAUGUGAUGGAUGAGCCUUGUUUGGCAAGCGAGCCUGUGUGCAUCGGGCGGCAUGGGAAUAAGUCUGCCUUUUCCUUUUUUUUUAUGAAACCAUUUUUUCUAAACUAGGAAUUAGGUUUCCCCUUACCAAGUUCGAGAAAGGGGCCUUGCUUGUGUUGAAUGUCACCCUAACACAACUACACCCCAAUAGUUGGGCAUUCAUUAAAGGCUUCCAAUUGUUGUGUAAGAUACUUGGUCAAAUGUCGACCAUGAAUAUGUUUUUUUUAUUUCUUCGAGUUUACCGAUUCCAAAAAGGUCAUGUGGGUGCCAAUUAAUAUUGUUGGUGGGUAGGGGAUUUUGACAUUGUUCAUGUCUUAUAAAAAUUUCAAAGAUAAAUUUUUUGAAGUUAGGGUCCCUGCACACAACACCGACAUAUUAGAGGGCUUUCUGAACUAUUGAACUAGCAACCCCUAGAAUUAUGGGAAUUUAGGUUUGGAUGGUUUAUUGGAGGCCGAGCAAGUAAGGAUUGAAGAUAUUAAAUAGUUAACUUUAUACAAUUCCAUGUUCAAAAUGGCUAGGAUUAUUGAAUUGGAAUACUGUUGGGUUGAUUUCAGGGUGUAAUCAUUAUGAGUUUUGUAUGUUUGCUAUUUGAUUAAGUCAUUUAUUUUUAUUGACAUCAAAUGAAUAAAUCUAUGUUUUAUUUCAAAGAGGAUGAGUAGAAAAGCCAUGGCUCCAUCAAAGAGCGAAAUGGCCCGUCUCCUAGUCGAGAAGGAGAGGAA